UACGGAGGAUGCGAGCGUUAUCCGGAUUUAUUGGGUUUAAAGGGUGCGUAGGCGGCAGAUUAAGUUAGAGGUGAAAUUCCGAGGCUCAACCUUGGCACUGCCUCUGAUACUGGUUUGCUAGCGAGUAGAUGCUGUAGGCGGAAUGUGUGGUGUAGCGGUGAAAUGCAUAGAGAUCACACAGAACGCCGAUUGCGAAGGCAGCUUAACGGCGCUCAACUGACGCUGAGGCACGAAAGUGCGGGUAUCGAACAGG
rnacentral:rRNA from 1 species